rnacentral:rRNA from 1 species
ACGGGAGGCAGCAGUGGGGAAUAUUGGGCAAUGGGCGAAAGCCUGACCCAGCAACGCCGCGUGAAGGAAGAAGGCCUUCGGGUUGUAAACUUCUUUUAUCAGGGACGAAGGAAGUGACGGUACCUGAUGAAUAAGCCACGGCUAACUACGUGCCAGCAGCCGCGGUAAUACGUAGGUGGCGAGCGUUAUCCGGAUUUACUGGGUGUAAAGGGCGCGUAGGCGGGGAUGCAAGUCAGAUGUGAAAUCCAUGGGCUCAACUCAUGAACUGCAUUUGAAACUGUAUCUCUUGAGUGUCGGAGAGGUAGACGGAAUUCCUAGUGUAGCGGUGAAAUGCGUAGAUAUUAGGAGGAACACCGGUGGCGAAGGCGACUUUCUGGACGAUUACUGACGUUGAGGCACGAAAGUGUGGGGAGCAAACAGGAUUAGAUACCCUGGUA